GACGAGCCACACAAACGUUAUUCGGAAUUACUGGGCUUAAAGGGUGCGUAGGCGGCGCGGAAAGUUGGGUGUGAAAUCCCUCGGCUCAACCGAGGAAUUGCGCUCAAAACUACCGUGCUCGAGGGAGAUAGAGGAGUGCGGAACUUACGGUGGAGCGGUGAAAUGCGUUGAUAUCGUAGGGAACACCGGUGGCGAAAGCGGCACUCUGGAUCUCAUCUGACGCUGAUGCACGAAAGCUAGGGUAGCAAACGGG
rnacentral:rRNA from 1 species